GAGAGUUUGAUCCUGGCUCAGGACGAACGCUGGCGGCGUGCUUAACACAUGCAAGUCGAACGGUAAGGCCCUUUCGGGGGUACACGAGUGGCGAACGGGUGAGUAACACGUGGGUGACCUGCCCUGUACUUCGGGAUAAGCCUGGGAAACUGGGUCUAAUACCGGAUAUGACCUUCUCCUGCAUGGGGGUUGGUGGAAAGCUUUUGCGGUACAGGAUGGGCCCGCGGCCUAUCAGCUUGUUGGUGGGGUAAUGGCCUACCAAGGCGACGACGGGUAGCCGGCCUGAGAGGGCGACCGGCCACACUGGGACUGAGACACGGCCCAGACUCCUACGGGAGGCAGCAGUGGGGAAUAUUGCACAAUGGGCGCAAGCCUGAUGCAGCGACGCCGCGUGAGGGAUGACGGCCUUCGGGUUGUAAACCUCUUUCAGUAGGGACGAAGCGCAAGUGACGGUACCUACAGAAGAAGCACCGGCCAACUACGUGCCAGCAGCCGCGGUAAUACGUAGGGUGCAAGCGUUGUCCGGAAUUACUGGGCGUAAAGAGCUCGUAGGCGGUUUGUCACGUCGUCUGUGAAAACCCGAGGCUUAACCUCGGGCCUGCAGGCGAUACGGGCAGACUUGAGUACUGUAGGGGAGACUGGAAUUCCUGGUGUAGCGGUGGAAUGCGCAGAUAUCAGGAGGAACACCGGUGGCGAAGGCGGGUCUCUGGGCAGUAACUGACGCUGAGGAGCGAAAGCGUGGGUAGCGAACAGGAUUAGAUACCCUGGUAGUCCACGCCGUAAACGGUGGGUACUAGGUGUGGGUUUCCUUCCACGGGAUCCGUGCCGUAGCUAACGCAUUAAGUACCCCGCCUGGGGAGUACGGCCGCAAGGCUAAAACUCAAAGGAAUUGACGGGGGCCCGCGCAAGCGGCGGAGCAUGUGGAUUAAUUCGAUGCAACGCGAAGAACCUUACCUGGGUUUGACAUAUAGAGGAUCGCCGGAGAGAUUCGGUUUGCCUUGUGCCUUCUAUACAGGUGGUGCAUGGCUGUCGUCAGCUCGUGUCGUGAGAUGUUGGGUUAAGUCCCGCAACGAGCGCAACCCUUGUCUCAUGUUGCCAGCACGUAAUGGUGGGGACUCGUGAGAGACUGCCGGGGUCAACUCGGAGGAAGGUGGGGAUGACGUCAAGUCAUCAUGCCCCUUAUGUCCAGGGCUUCACACAUGCUACAAUGGCGCGUACAGAGGGCUGCGAUACCGUGAGGUGGAGCGAAUCCCUUAAAGCGCGUCUCAGUUCGGAUUGGGGUCUGCAACUCGACCCCAUGAAGUCGGAGUCGCUAGUAAUCGCAGAUCAGCAACGCUGCGGUGAAUACGUUCCCGGGCCUUGUACACACCGCCCGUCACGUCAUGAAAGUCGGUAACACCCGAAGCCGGUGGCCUAACCCCUUGUGGGAGGGAGCUGUCGAAGGUGGGAUUGGCGAUUGGGACGAAGUCGUAACAAGGUAGC
rnacentral:rRNA from 1 species